CUAGCAUAUCAAUAAGCGGAGGAAAAGAAACCAACAGGGAUUGCCCUAGUAACGGCGAGUGAAGCGGCAACAGCUCAAAUUUGAAAUCUGGCUCUCGGGCCCGAGUUGUAAUUUGUAGAGGAUGCUUUUGAUGCGGUGCCUUCCGAGUUCCCUGGAACGGGACGCCAUAGAGGGUGAGAGCCCCGUCUGGUUGGAUGCCAAAUCUCUGUAAAGCUCCUUCGACGAGUCGAGUAGUUUGGGAAUGCUGCUCUAAAUGGGAGGUAUAUGUCUUCUAAAGCUAAAUACCGGCCAGAGACCGAUAGCGCACAAGUAGAGUGAUCGAAAGAUGAAAAGCACUUUGAAAAGAGAGUUAAAAAGUACGUGAAAUUGUUGAAAGGGAAGCGUUUAUGACCAGACUUGGGCUUGGUUAAUCAUCUGGGGUUCUCUCCAGUGCACUUUUCCAGUCCAGGCCAGCAUCAGUUUUCGCCGGGGGAUAAAGGCUUCGGGAAUGUGGCUCUCUCCGGGGAGUGUUAUAGCCCGUUGCGUAAUACCCUGGCGGGGACUGAGGUUCGCGCAUCUGCAAGGAUGCUGGCGUAAUGGUCAUCAACGACCCGUCUUGAAACACGGACCAAGGAGUCGUCUUCGUAUGCGAGUGUUCGGGUGUCAAACCCCUACGCGUAAUGAAAGUGAACGCAGGUGAGAGCUUCGGCGCAUCAUCGACCGAUCCUGAUGUUCUCGGAUGGAUUUGAGUAAGAGCAUACGGGGCCGGACCCGAAAGAAGGUGAACUAUGCCUGUGUAGGGUGAAGCCAGAGGAAACUCUGGUGGAGGCUCGCAGCGGUUCUGACGUGCAAAUCGAUCGUCAAACAUGGGCAUGGGGGCGAAAGACUAAUCGAACCUUCUAGUAGCUGGUUUCCGCGA
rnacentral:rRNA from 1 species